UACAGACGGUCCAAACGUUAUUCGGAAUCACUGGGCUUAAAGAGUUCGUAGGCGGUCAGGAAAGUGGGGUGUGAAAGCCCUCGGCUUAACCGAGGAAUUGCGCUCCAAACUCCCUGACUUGAGGAGGCUAGAGGUAAGCGGAACUGAUGGUGGAGCGGUGAAAUGCGUUGAUAUCGGAAGGAACGCCGGUGGCGAAAGCGACGUACUGGACCUCUUCUGACGCUGAGGCGCGAAAGCUAGGGGAGCAAACGGG
rnacentral:rRNA from 1 species